rnacentral:rRNA from 1 species
GACGAACGCUGGCGGCGUGCUUAACACAUGCAAGUCGAGCGGUAAGGCCCUUUCGGGGGUACACGAGCGGCGAACGGGUGAGUAACACGUGGGUGACCUGCCCUCAGCUCUGGGAUAAGCCUGGGAAACCGGGUCUAAUACUGGAUAUGACUCCAUGACGCAUGUUGGUGGGGUGGAAAGCCUUGUGCGGCUGAGGAGUGGGCCCGCGGCCUAUCAGCUUGUUGGGUGGGGUGANGGCCUACCAAGGCGACGACGGGUAGCCGGCCUGAGAGGGCGACCGGCCACACUGGGACUGAGACACGGCCCAGACUCCUACGGGAGG